rnacentral:rRNA from 1 species
UAACCUACCUAUAAGACGUGGGAAUUAACGUUACGGGAAACCGGAGCUAAUACCGGAUAAUAUUUCGAACCGCAUGGUUCGAUAGUGAAAGGUGGUUUUGCUAUCACUUAUAGAUGGACCCGCGCCGUAUUAGCUAGUUGGUAAGGUAACGGCUUACCAAGGCGACGAUACGUAGCCGACCUGAGAGGGUGAUCGGCCACACUGGAACUGAGACACGGUCCAGACUCCUACGGGAGGCAGCAGUA